rnacentral:sRNA from 1 species
UCGAGAGGAAGGGCUUCAAGUUGGUGGCGCUGAAGCUGGUGCAGGUGGGGGCGCGGUGAGCGAGCGGGGGCGCGGUGUAGGGGGAAGGGGGGCGGGGACCUGGGGACGCCUGGGUGCCGGGUGCGGGCGCCGGCGGCCUGACCCUUCCGCAGGCCUCCGAGGAGCUGCUGCGUGAGCACUACGCCGAGCUGCGUGAACGCCCGUUCUACGGCCGCCUGGUCAAGUAUAUGGCCUCCGGGCCGGUAGUGGCCAUGGUGAGUACCCGGGAAGCGGGCGGGCGGCCCCGGGACCCCACCCCUGCGUGAUACCGCGCCCGUCCCCCCGCACAGGUAUGGCAGGGGCUGGACGUGGUGCGCACCUCGCGGGCACUGAUCGGGGCCACGAACCCGGCCGACGCCCCGCCCGGCACCAUCCGCGGGGAUUUCUGCAUCGAGGUUGGCAAGUAAGGCCCGCCCCGGGGACGGUCCCAGCCCCGUCCGGCCUCCCCCAGUUCGGCCUGCGUGGGACCCUUGCCGGAGGUCUCUUUCCCACGCUCACGCGCGCCUCUUCCGCGCAGGAACCUGAUUCACGGCAGCGACUCGGUGGAGAGUGCCCGCCGCGAGAUCGCGCUCUGGUUCCGCGCAGACGAGCUCCUGUGCUGGGAGGACAGCGCUGGGCACUGGCUGUAUGAGUAG